GAGUUAACAAUGAUUAUAAAAAUAAUUCUUCGUUCUAAUUUACUUAAUUUGGGCAUGACAAAUCUCGUAUUACAAUUAUAGAAUCUAUGCUAC
rnacentral:snoRNA from 1 species